UACGUAGGGACCAAGCGUUGUCCGGAAUCAUUGGGCGUAAAGAGCGUGUAGGCGGCUUGUUAAGUCUUGCGUGAAAUCUCGGGGCGUCAACCCCGAGCGGUCGUGAGAAACUGGCAGGCUAGAGUGCGGGAGAGGAGAGUGGAAUUCCUGGUGUAGCGGUGAAAUGCGCAGAUAUCAGGAAGAACACCCGUGGCGAAGGCGGCUCUCUGGAACGCAACUGACGCUGAGACGCGAAAGCGUGGGGAGCGAACAGG
rnacentral:rRNA from 1 species